rnacentral:rRNA from 1 species
AUUGAACGCUGGCGGCAGGCCUAACACAUGCAAGUCGAGCGGAGCUGCGGACGGGUGAGUAAUGCCUAGGAAUCUGCCUGGUAGUGGGGGAUAACGUCCGGAACCGGGCGCUACUACCGCCUACUCUCCUCUGAGCCUAGGUCGGAUUAGCUAGUUGGUGGGUUAAAGGCCUACCAAGGCGACGAUCCGUCACUGGUCUGAGAGGAUGAUCAGUCACACUGGAACUGAGACACGGGCCAGACGCGUACGGGAGGCAGCAGGGGGGAAUAUUGGACAAUGGGCGAAAGCCUGAUCCAGCCAUGCCGCGUGUGUGAAGAAGGUCUUCGGAUUGUAAAGCACUUUAAGUUGGGAGGCGUUACCAACAGAAUAAGCACCGGCUAACUUCGUGCCAGCAGCCGCGGUAAUUC